CGGACGGGUGAGUAAUACAUAGGAAUCUGCCCAGUAGCGGGGGACAACUCGGAGAAAUCCGAGCUAAUACCGCAUACGCCCUACGGGGGAAAGCAGGGGAUUUUCGGACCUUGCACUAUUGGAUGAGCCUAUGUCGGAUUAGCUUGUUGGUGGGGUAAUAGCCUACCAAGGCAACGAUCUGUAGCUGGUCUGAGAGGACGAUCAGCCACACUGGGACUGAGACACGGCCCAG
rnacentral:rRNA from 1 species